AGUGUGUGUGAAAUUUGUGGGAAGGGUGACGAAGAUGAAUACCAUGCGGUAAUUGCUUGCACCAAGAGCAGAGCCUUGAGAUAUGCAAUGAGAAAAGAAUGGAAGCUCCCGGCUGAAAAAGAGUUUUGGUACACAGGGAAGGAUUGGCUACAGAUACUGCUAGACAAACAUGACUCAGGUAUGAGAAUCAAUAUUUUGCUGCUGUUGUGGCGUGCGUGGUUCCUGCGAGACAAUUGUGUCCAUCAAGACGGGAGAGAAUCAGUAUCUCGAUCGACGCUAUUCCUGGUUGGGUACGAGGAAGAAAUCAGAAAAUUAUCGCUGGUUGGGGAGGGGAUGCACGGGUCUCUGAAGGCUGCUGAAACAGAGCAAGCGCGGGGCCAUAAGGGGACACCUGAAGCGGAUCAGUGGGAGCGGCAGCCCGCGGGUAUGAUUAAGCUGAAUAAAGACGCAGCAUACGUAGCAGAGACGGGACAGGCCUGA
rnacentral:rRNA from 1 species